UUCGAUGGUAGUGUAUUGGACUAUCAUGGCUAUCACGGGUAACGGGGAAUUAGGGUUCGAUUCCGGAGAGGGAGCCUGAGAAAUGRCUACCACAUCUAAGGAAGGCAGCAGGCGCGUAAAUUACCCAAUCCUGAUUCAGGGAGGUAGUGACAAGAAAUAACAACCUGGAGCCUCACGGCUUCCGGGAUUGCAAUGAAAACAAUUUAAAUAACUUAUUGAGGAACAAUUGGAGGGCAAGUCUGGUGCCAGCAGCCGCGGUAAUUCCAGCUCCAAUAGCGUAUAUUAAAGUUGUUGCAGUUAAAAAGCUCGUAGUUGAACUUCUGUCUGCCAGAACUUGGCCUCGGUCAUUUUCGGGCAGACAUCCGCCAGAAAUAGUUGGCUACCUUCACUGGUUAGUCUUCUAGUUAUGGCAGUUUACUUUGAAAAAAUUAGAGUGUUCAAGGCAGGCAAUCGCCGUGAAUACACAAGCAUGGAAUAAUGGAAAAGGACUACGAUCCCAUUUUGUUGGUUAUCGGAUCUAGUAAUGAUUAAUAGGGACKAGUUGGGGGCAUUAGUACUUAAUUGUCAGAGGUGAAAUUCUUGGAUUUAUUAAAGACUAACUUAUGCGAAAGCAUUUGCCAAGGAUGUUUUCAUUAAUCAAGAACGAAAGUUAGGGGAUCAAAGACGAUCUGAUACCGUC
rnacentral:rRNA from 1 species